AAUGACAGGGGACACAGCUUGAGGUCCAUGGAAACCAGGAAAAAGCAACAACAGUUAUUUGGCUUAAGUAAGAAAGGAGCUCAGAGAGGGCCAGGUCACAGGGGCAGGCUUUGGGGUGGGGACAUGACUUGGUAGGACAUUGUU